AGGUAAUGUCUCCUGCACCUCUAUCACCGGAGGCACUCGGUCAUGCUGUGGGUCAGCCGACCUUAGACGUUAAUCGUCAAGGGUGUGACGUGAGGAGGGGUUAGAUGCCCC
rfam:Paenibacillus sp. FSL A5-0031 NODE_10_length_299715_cov_1.57373_ID_5141, whole genome shotgun sequence.